rnacentral:rRNA from 1 species
GAUGAACGCUGGCGGCGUGCCUAAUACAUGCAAGUCGAGCGAACGGACGAGAAGCUUGCUUCUCUGAUGUUAGCGGCGGACGGGUGAGUAACACGUGGAUAACCUACCUAUAAGACUGGGAUAACUUCGGGAAAGCGUAGCUAAUACCGGAUAAUAUUUUGAACCGCAUGGUUCAAAAGUGAAAGACGGUCUUGAUGUCACUUAUAGAUGGAUCCGCGCUGCAUUAGCUAGUUGGUAAGGUAACGGCUUACCAAGGCAACGAUGCAUAGCCGACCUGAGAGGGUGAUCGGCCACACUGGAACUGAGACACGGUCCAGACUCCUACGGGAGGCAGCAGUAGGGAAUCUUCCGCAAUGGGCGAAAGCCUGACGGAGCAACGCCGCGUGAGUGAUGAAGGUCUUCGGAUCGUAAAACUCUGUUAUUAGGGAAGAACAUAUGUGUAAGUAACUGUGCACAUCUUGACGGUACCUAAUCAGAAAGCCACGGCUAACUACGUG